rnacentral:lncRNA from 1 species
AAGGAAGUUGACAUGUCAUCACUUCAUUUUUUUGCGCCUGCGCAUAAAUCUGAGAGACGUGAGUUUGUCAUCAUUUUUUAUCUAGACAUAGGAUAGGUUGUGUGAAAAUAUUACUGAUGUUUAACGUUAAAAAUGGACCAAAAGAUUAAUGCUAAACAACAUUUGACAUGUUUGAACGAACAUAAAUAGAUUAUUUACUAGGUUUUUUUAGCUUUUCGGCGUGAUUUUACCAGCCCCACACCACGUUUUGUGGGAGCAUAAUGAACGCUAAGUACUUGGUGUUAUUUGGACAUAAAUUAUGAACUUUGUCAAAAGAAACCACAUUUGUUCCGGACCUGGAAUGCCUUCCGGACCUGGGAUCCUGCCUUCUGAUGGAGAUAAUCAAAGGACCUGAGCCCUAGGACCAUGCCUCAGGACUACCUGGUAUGAUGACUCCUUGCUGUCCCCAGUCCACCUGGCCGUGCUGCUGCUCCAGUUUCAACUGUUCUGCCUGCGGCUAUGGAACCCUGACCUGUUCACCGGACGUGCUUGUUGCACCCUCGACAACUACUAUGAUUAUUAUUAUUUGACCAUGCUGGUCAUUUGUGAACAUUUUAACAUCUUGACCAUGUUCUGUUAUAAUAUCCACCCUGCACAGCCAGAAGAGGACUGGCCACCCCUCAUAGCCUGGUUCCUCUCUAGGUUUCUUCCUAGGUUUUUGGCCUUUCUAGGGAGUUUUUCCUAGGGAGUUUUUCCUAGCCACCGUGCUUCUUUCACAUGCAUUGCUUGCUGUUUGGGGUUUUAGGCUGGGUUUCUGUACAGCACUUUGAGAUAUCAGCUGAUGUACGAAGGGCUAUAUAAAUAAAUUUGAUUUGAAAUUUGAUUUGAAGAAACAAAGAGAAGAAGUGAGAUGGAAAGAGGGAGGGGUGUUUGUGAAAUGGAUGGAGUGUCAGGAUGACAGGGGUAGGAGAGAGAAACCAGAUGUAUUUUAGUCAGUUCUUCCCCAUAAAAUAUGUUCUCUUAUGAUUUCAUGAUUUUCUUCAUCUCAUCCGACUCCUUGAAUAGAUUUAAUAGUAUUACAUUAGCGGUUUUUAUUGCUGCAUGAAUAUUCAAUCAGCCAUAUACUAGACAAUCACCUGCAUUCUUGUACUGUACUCUCUACCUACUG